rnacentral:lncRNA from 1 species
CCUCAGAUUCAUACAAAAGUAGGUUAAGGAUGACAAGUGUCGGCUCAUUCCAGCCAUUAGCAAAAUCUCCAAAAAACAUACACACAAUAAUCCCACUUUCAUGCAACUACGUGGAACCUCACUUCACCAACCAAGAUUAUUGAGCUAUAUGCUCACACUCCCUCAACUCACACAUGCACUAAAGCUAGAAGCAGUCUUACCUCCUAUAAA